rnacentral:rRNA from 1 species
AGUGAGCGCUGGCGGUAGGCCUAACACAUGCAAGUCGAACGGCAGCACAGUAAGAGCUUGCUCUUACGGGUGGCGAGUGGCGGACGGGUGAGGAAUACAUCGGAAUCUACUUUUUCGUGGGGGAUAACGUAGGGAAACUUACGCUAAUACCGCAUACGACCUACGGGUGAAAGCAGGGGAUCUUCGGACCUUGCGCGAUUGAACGAGCCGAUGUCGGAUUAGCUAGUUGGCGGGGUAAAGGCCCACCAAGGCGACGACCCGUAGCUGGUCUGAGAGGAUGAUCAGCCACACUGGAACUGAGACACGGUCCAGACUCCUACGGGAGGCAGCAGUGGGGAAUAUUGGACAAUGGGCGCAAGCCUGAUCCAGCCAUACCGCGUGGGUGAAGAAGGCCUUCGGGUUGUAAAGCCCUUUUGUUGGGAAAGAAAAGCAGCAGGUUAAUACCCCGCUGUUCUGACGGUACCCAAAGAAUAAGCACCGGCUAACUUCGUG